GGAAGGUAAGUGCCCAUGGCCAAGGUAGUGGUGUAUGCUAUCACCAGGAAGGUAAAAGGUGUUACUAGGGCACAGAUGUGGGUCAUCUAAUUCCCCCUAAGUGGCUUGGUCUGAUAUUCAAAGGGUUAGAAUAUUCUGGGCUAUAAAGAAUGAAAUCAAGCUGAGCAGUCAGAAGAGUGAGCAAGUAUCCAAACAGAAUUAAAGGAGUUGGAAUAUUUGCAAACAACUACUAUGUGCUGGGUACUUCUCAGAAAUGAUUUCUAAUAUUAUUAAAAUCAUGAUUACUAUUUCCAUUUAUUGGCCAGGGUUCUAGUUUCAGAGAAGCUUUGCUACCCAGCCAGUCAUUCAGCUGAAUGUGGCAGUUUAUAUUUGAACCUGCAUAGCUCUGAUGCUUGAGGCUUAAGUGUUUUCAAACACCACACUGUCUCUCUCUAUGAAAGCAUAAAAUUUCCUUCCAGCUUCAGACCCUAACCUUUUAAUUUUCCAACAUGCAGAAAUAUCACAAAUGCGGCAAUGCAUAGGUAUGGAUCACUUCACUUAAUUGGAAUCUGUGGUACAUAAGCCACUGUAUUGGGAGCCUACGGGUUCAAGUUAUUGAAAGCAUUUUUAAAAACACAGAAUAGGUAAUGUAAGGAGGCUUCUCACUGUUUUAUGGUCAUAAGCAUAUGUACAUCCAACUCCGUGGCUAAUUGAGGAUUCACUGAGCAUCCAGUGUGGGGAGCAUUAAAUUGUUCUAUCUUCUCUAAAUUUACCAAUAAAAAAGAGCCCUUUUAUGAAACUUGACUAACUAGUGAAUAAAUGAGAUGUAUACUAUCUUUUGCUCCUGCCUUAGUCAAAUGGAUCCUUUCCUAGAUGGACAGUAAUUACACUAUUUUGGUAAAGAGUGUGUAUUCUGGUCUGUUGGGAAUUCAGUAAGUACAUAUCCCAUGUGCAUGGCACAGAGAAAGGACUUAAAAUUUUAAUUCUUUUGACCAUGAAAAAGACUUACUGUUACCACUUAUUAUUAUGCUAAUAAAUGAGUUCUCUAUAAUUAGCCUUCACAACUAAAAUCUGGUCACUUUCUGUUAACAAAGGUACAGUUUUCAAAUUUAUGUGUACUAAUUGGUCAGUUCUUCAAUGCAGUGCUGAUUCAAAGCAUUAUAUCAUAAAAUAGUUUGAUGUAAUCUCCUUAGUCAAUUUUUAAUUGUUUCCUGUGUUUUGGGGGGUUCUAUCCAGAAAAUCAUUAACUAUACCAGUGUCUUAAAACAUUUUUCCUAUGUUUUCUUCUAAUAGUUCAAGAGUUUCACGUCUUAUACUUAGGUCUUUUAUCUGUUUUCUGUUCAUUUUAUUUAAAAAAAAAGAAAGAAAGAAAAGGUUGUUAAGGGUAGGGGGCAAGGGAUGAUAAAGAGAGAUUGGAUUUGAAUAGUGCAUUCAUCACACUGAUCCCUAUUAAUAUGUACAAUUAAUAUAUCUUCAUCAAAAAUGAAAAAUAAUUUUAUAUAUAGCAGUUUCACUACUUCAUGAAAUUUUGAAGUUUAGAAAAGUAAAGAUCUUUGUGUCAAAUACCAAACAAAACAAUUAGACAACAUGAGAAAAAGCAAGAGCUCAUUAUGCAUUUUGAAAUAUAAGCUCCAUAAUAAUUGAAAAUUCUAUUUGUUCUGUUCACUGAUAUCUACCAAGCAAAAAGAAUCUGAUGCAUGAUAAGCACUCAAAUAGUAUUUGUGAAUAAUUGAAUUAAUGAAGAGCCAUGUGCUUGCUGGAUUUAAGGCUAAUUUAUAACAUGAGUCAAAGAAAAAGAGGAUCUCUAAAGGUGAACUUUAUGAAAAGUUUCAUGGAAAGGACUUGAGCUGAGCUGGAAAAAAAAUGUUUAGGGAAAGAGUAAGAGAAGGCAUUCUCUCCAGAUCCAGAGAGCUCCAGAAGGGAAGUUUCCAACUGGGUCAAGAUCCACUAGUGAGUUACUUAUUUAACAAUGUGAUCUUCAUCUGUAUAUACUUUUUAGAUAUUAAAUAGAAGAGAAAAAAGAGAGAUCAAAAGAGUAGAAUAUUACAUUGAUUAAGAAUACUUCUUUCUGAACACAUUCGGAUAAUAAUGAGAUAUUGUGAAGCAAAUGGGAAUUUGUGGAAUGUGUGUUAGGCAUGGAAUCAGUUUCAGUCCAAAUGUCAGUUUUUGUAAUUUUGAACAAGGCACUUAAUAUGAGUCACCUGUAGUUUCUUCCUGAAAAUGAGGUCAUUAUACAUAUUUUAAAGGAUUUUUGUAAAAAUUGAUGGAGAUAAUGCUUGCUAAGUGCCUAGUAGGGCACAUGGUUCUUGGUGCAUAAUCAAUACCUGGUAGCUCUGUUUUUCUCUCCUAGGGUUGUUUUGAUGGUUUAACAAGAUGCCAGCUUCAUACAAUAUUUUCAACGCACUAGAAGCACUCCACAGCACCACAAAUUCAUUUACUACCAACUUUAUGUCAUUUAAAGUUCUUUAAAAGCUUUUCUUCCACAAUUAGAAAUAAUAUAGUUUAAACCAAAUCAUGCUUUAUCUACUUUAAAAUUUCACCAAUCCUUUUAUUCUUAUGGUUAUCCCCUCAUUGAAAAAAUUUUAAACACCUAUAGUAUGCAAACUAAUUUCUAUGAUGUACAUGCUAAUAUACACAGAUGAAAUAGUUAACAAUCUAAUACAGGAAUGAAGCUGCAAAUGAGUAGUCUACUGGCUAUAUUAAAAGGUGCUGCAUGCUUUUACAAUAGCAGAUAGAUAUUAAUAUGUAAAUAAAGAAAAGAGUUGUUCUGGGAAUUUGUGGUGUUUUAACAUUUGAGCUAAGUCAUGAAUGAUUAAUAAGAACCAAGGCAGGUCACAUAGGAUCCUGCCUCCAGAAGAACCCAAUGGUUGGUUUAUGUUCUGCUGUCAUAUCUUGAAAUUUGUUACAAUGUUGUUUUUUUAUCUUGUUUUUAUCUGAGUGAAGCCCAUUGGAAAAAUGCAGGAUUAUAUGAGUAGAAGAAAUAUGCACACAGUGUGUUUACCAUUCUUUACCAUCUUGUUCACACAGAAUAUUGAAAUUCAUGUUAGCUCUUGAUUUUUCAGAAUUCAGUGAUGUUCAAGGGUAGUAAAAUUUAAAUGCAUUAUGUUUUGCUUAAGUGGAAACUCUGAUAUGUUGGGGAAGAAGAAAACAGUAUAAUUUGAACAUUCAGGGAACUCAAUCAUAUACUUUCUUUAUCAUGUCAAUUUCUUAUAUUAGUCGAUCACUAAUGCUGAAAAUGAAAUUAAAGAAGGAAAGGGAUAGAUAGGAAAACCGGAAAUUCCUUUGCCUUUCUCUAUGUCCUUACUGUUAGCAAGCUGAAAGUAGAGAAUGUUAGUCACCACAUAGAAAUAACUGAGGCCACACACAGAUAUGCCUGCCUUGAUUUGAAUAUCACACAAUGUAUUCACGUACUAAAACAUCACAUGGCAUUGCAUAUAUAUGAACACUUUUAUAUCUAUUUUUUAAUUAAAUAAUAGCAAUAUCAAGUAGGAUAAGUAGUGAAUUUUUCUGUGAGCUUAUUGAUGGGAUAUGUGCCUUUGGAGAAUUAGAAUGAAAGAAAGGAGAGCUGGUCAUAGAGGAAGCAUGACUAUAAUUCCAGUGGCUUGGGAGGGUGAGGCAGGAGGAUCCUGAAUUCAAGGUCAGCCUCAUUGGCUUAAUGAGGACAUAAGCAACUUAGGGAGACCCUGUCUCAAAAUAAAAAAGACUGAGAAUGUGGCUCAGAGUUUAAGUACACCUGGGUUUAAUUCCUGAUACCAAAAAAAAAAAAAAACAAGAAGAAGAAGAAAAGAAAUAAUCUGUGCAGUGUUUUCCAAGUUCUUUCUUUCAAGAGUGAAAUGCAUAUGCAUGCACAAGCUCCCAAAUACAAGUUUUGUAAUUUCAUGAAUUCCACAUGAGUUCGAGAUCAUUAAAAACAGUGUUUCAAAAAUGGAUGCAUUUGCAUUUAAAGUGGUAUUGAAGGUGAACAAUAAAAUUCACUCUAGUCAUAUAGUGUUUUUAUUAAUCUUAUAACAACAUUAAAUGGCAAAUAAAGUACACUAUAUCAAGUCCAGGAGGACAGUAUGGGAAAAGGAAAAAUGCUUUAUAUAUUAGUGCCUUUAAUUACACUUUACACUUUUUUUUUUUUUAGAUUUUGAACAAGGGGCCUCCUCACAUUUUCAUUUCUCACUGGGCCUACAAUUUACAUAAAUCACUUUAAUACAGAAAUGUAUUAUCUCAAAUUUCCAUAACACCAUGGUACAAAGAGGAAUAUGGAGUACGUAGCAACAUGCUUUCCAAGACCAAGACCAAGCAGAUGGACAAGGGAAGGCUGGAAUUGCUUUAAAAUUGACCUCAUAGGUGUACCAUUUUCCUUAGGACUUUCUGAACUAAGAAGUACACUCCAGCAUCAGAUGUCAACAGAAGUUUAUUAUCUUUAACCUGAAACAGAUCUCUCAAGAUUCUAGUAAAGAAUAUGAACAAAUUAUAGAAUUUGCUCUGCUAACUCUAUUUUAUAAAUGUAAAACAAAAUAAAAUAUAACUAUAAAAUAAAAAGCAAGAGAACUCCCUGGCUCUCAGAUUGAAUCAUGAAAACUGAGAAAGUGAAGUAGUACAUGACAAAAAAGCAAUGUGGGGAAUGAGAGACACUGUGCAAAUGUGACUGUGUGUGUUGUUAUGCUUUUCAACAGCUAUAGCAAGUGAAUGGUUAUCUAACCUUGAAGAGUAUGAAUCAAAUCAUUUUAAUUAAAUGAAAUUAUUUAAUGAUAUCAAGAACGAGAAGAACUUAGCGCCUUUUUAAGACAAAUUGCACAAGGAUGCCAUAUAUCAAGACACUGUCAACUUGGAAGUAAUAUUGUAUUCAGAUCUUUCUAAGUAAAGACAACCUGUUUCAACCUGAUAAAAAUAUUGAUGAUUAAAUUAAUCAUUAAAAACCCUGAUGAUUAAAUAUCGAUCUAAAAAGUAAAGCAGAAGACUAUCACCUAACUGUGUAGUGUGGCAAAGUAUUUAAAAACAAUUUUUCUAUAGAUUGGAUCUCACAAUAGCACCUCUUUCCUAGAUUUUAAUAUAUUAUACCAAUAUAUAUUUGGUGAUUAAUUAUGUAAUUUUGCCUGAAAGAUGUGCAUAAGGAAAGAAGUAAUAUCUAGCAAUUCUGUGAAAUUAAACAUUGGGCUAAGUAUCCAACUUACAUUAUCUUAUUUGAUAUUCAUAACAUCAACUAAAUUUGAAGAUUCUAUCAUAUAUAUUUAUAGAAGAAAGAUUAAAGCAAGACUGGCUUUUGUAUGUUAGAAAGUAUUUGGUGUUAAAUUGUCAAUUCUACUACUGAAGGCCUUAGCCUGGUCUAUUUAAAGCAAAUUGUUAUAAUUUCCACUUCACUUUAAAAUAUCUGUGAAUAUAUUACUUGUAAACAUGAAUAUGACUUACUAAGUAUGAGAAGAAUAAGUUUAUUUCUUGUAGAAUUAUGUAAUUGUUCACUUCUGUAAAUUACUAGGACAUUGAUAUAAAAAAAUAAGCUAGCAAUCAGAGCACAUGUUCAGAAGAAAGCAGGGAGGAAUAUGAGCGUGAGCCAGAAAAGAAAUUUGCCUAAAAAAUCGAAUUUAUAACAACAAAAUUUCUCUUAACGGAGGAGCCCUGAGGACUAUUGGGAAAUCCAAUGGAAAAGAGGCUGUAGUGAGAGAGUCCGUUCCAGGUGAGAAGUUCCAGUUCACUGGUUCUUACUUCUUAUGUCUGAGGUACUCCCAAGAUCAGGCCCCCCUAAAAGCAAAGAGCUUCCCAGAUGGUGUCUGCUGUGGGACUUGGAGAAUCUUAUGUGCUUGCUUGUGCUCACAGGUGCCCUGUAUGCCACAACAUAGCUCACAGUAAUAUUUGAAAUUUAAACUGGAAACCAAAUGAAACAAUCUGCUCCCUUUCUUUAUUGUUGUUGUUGUUGUUGUUGUUGUUGAUGAUGAUGAUGAUGAUUCCUUGUAAAAUGGGGAUUUAAAAAAAAAUUAAAGCCAUGCUUCUAAACUUUGUAUCUUCUGAAAUUUGUUUCCUGUUUUAAGUGUUUGCCUCCUUCCAAAAUUAUCAGAAAUAAAUAUAUAAACAAACUCUGUAAAUUUUAAAUGUUUUUAUCCUAUAGUUUUGGUCUCAUUUCUGUACUUAGUAUUUUUUCUUAU
rnacentral:lncRNA from 1 species